UCUACUUGACUAGCUGAGAGGAGGUGCAUGGCCGUCGUCAGUUCGUACUGUGAAGCAUCCUGUUAAGUCAGGCAACGAGCGAGACCCACGCCAACAGUUGCCAGCUCGUCCUCCGGGGAUGGUGGGGACACUGUUGGGACCGCCUCUGCUAAAGAGGAGGAAGGAAUGGGGCAACGGUAGGUCAGCAUGCCCCGAAUUAUCUGGGCUACACGCGGGCUACAAUGGGUGGGACAAUGGGUAUCGACACCGAAAGGUGAAGGCAAUCUCCUAAACCCAUCCGUAGUUCGGAUUGUGGGCUGCAACUCGCCCACAUGAAGCUGGAAUCUGUAGUAAUCGUGUCUCAAAAUGGCACGGUGAAUAUGUCCCUGCUCCUU
rnacentral:rRNA from 1 species